UAGGCAGUUGUGCUCCUGUAAACAUCCUUGACUGGAAGCUGUGCAAGGCUCAAAGGGGCUUUCAGUCGGAUGUUUACAGCGGCAGGCUGCUGC
ensembl:miRNA aca-mir-30e aca-mir-30e